GUCGAGAAUCUUUCACAAUGGGGGCAACCCUGAUGGAGCGACGCCGCGUGGAGGAUAAGGUCUUCGGAUUGUAAACUCCUGUCAUGCGUGAACAAGGUUGCUUGGUUAAUACCUGGGCAAAUUGAUGGUAACGCAAGAGGAAGAGACGGCUAACUCUGUGCCAGCAGCCGCGGUAAUACAGAGGUCUCAAGCGUUGUUCGGAAUCACUGGGCGUAAAGGGUGCGUAGGUGGCGUGGUAAGUCAGAGGUGAAAGCCCGGGGCUCAACCUCGGAACUGCAUCCGAUACUGCCAUGCUAGAGGACUGGAGAGGUGACUAGAAUUCUCGGUGUAGCAGUGAAAUGCGUAGAUAUCGAGAGGAAUACCAAAGGCGUAGGCAGGUCACUGGACAGUUACUGACACUGAGGCACGAAGGCCAGGGGAGCGAACGGGAUUAGAAACCCCAGUAGUCC
rnacentral:rRNA from 1 species